UUCAGGUUGGGGCUACAUUCCAGAAAGGAGGUGAUUCCACUUGGAUCCCAAGAAACCAAAGAGGCUGCUAUUGGCACACCCUCAGCAUACAGGAGUUGUGUGUAGAAGCAGGAGUCAGCAUGAGGGGACAAAGAUGUGGCUUUCAGGGGACGUUUUUACUUCUCUGUUUAGCAGCGAAGUCAGCGGGCCGGCAGAGGUCGUGGGUAAAGAGCACUGGAGCUGUUGACUGCAUUUGUUCCCUGCCAAUCAGUGGAGCCUGCUGUAGUGCAGAAUGAGAUAAUCACAGCUGGAGAGGUGAUCUGAAUGCCCAGUAUACAGAUGUUCACUUUAUUACUUAGAAAUUAGUUGUUUAAAUCUCUUCAAAGUAUUACGAGUAUAUUGCUUUGGCUCACAAAGUGUUUAAUUAUAAAGAUAAAGAAGUUAUAACAAAGUGCUGUGGUGUCAGUCCUGUUUGUAGGUUCUUAAGGAUUUACUUAUUAAAACUUCUGUGAUUUUACAUUCCUAAGGACUUACUCUAUCAUUUUAAUAUUAUCUUCACAAAAGUCAGAUAAAUUUCUGUCUUCAGUCAUGCUGCUGUAACAGAAUACCACCGACUGGGUAGUUUAUAAAGAAUAGAUGUAUAUUUUCUCACAGUUCUGGAGGCUGGGAAGUCCAAGAUCAAGGUGCUGGCAUUUGUGGUCUGCUGAGGGCUUUCCUGCUGCGUCCUCACAUGGCAGAUGGCAGACGGCAGAUGGCAGAAAGCAGAGGGCCAAGUGAGAGAGGAAGAGCAAGCUAACCCAGGAACGCUGCAAGAAGCCUCUUCUGUAAGGGCCUUAAUCCCCUUAAUGAGCACAGAGCCCUCAUGGCCUCGUGUCUCUCAGAGGCCCCACCUCUCAAUACCAUCACGUUGGAAAGACUGAAUUUCGGAGGGAACGCAUUCCCAUCAUAGCAUUCUCCUGUUCUGCCUUAAUUAUAGAACGUAUUCAAUGGCUUCAGGAUGAUUCACUACUGCCUUGUAAAUAAGGGCUCUCCCUAGGGAAGCCCUGUCAAGUGACCUUAUUGUGUGAAGUCACUUUACACUUUGCCCCCAUGUGCUGGCCCCACCCACAUUUCCCUCCUUUUCCUGCUGCAGUCGUCCCGGAACAUGUUCUCCUUUAAAGCCACACUGGGCACCAUCAUUAAUUAGGAGAUGGGUAUUUUCCUCCACUUCUUCAUUUCCUAGAAGACUCGUCAUGCCUCCGCGUGUUUCAUGCCUGUCUGUCCUCUAAGCCCUCCCCAGGUACCACCUCCUCCAAAUGUCUUCCUCAGCAGAUUCCUUCCUCCUCUCUGUUCCUGUAACAACUGAUUGGGGCUUGAUGGAACUUUGCCUUGUGUUAGAAUCGAAGCAUUUGGUAUCAGUGACAUCACUUGCUCCAGAAUCUGCUCUUCGGCAGCUUAAUCUCUGCUAUGGAUCCCCGUGGCUGUGCUGGCGGUCUUCGAGAACAUUCAUGUCAAUGAGCCGCUGUACAUCCUGGUCUUCGGAGGGUCCCUGCUGGAUGAUGCAGUGACAGUGGACAGGUGGACGUCGCUACUGACUUAUUCCAGAUCUCCCAAGGCACGACAAUUUAGCUGACUUGGUCAGAGCAGAAUUUUUUUGUCAUCACAUGGCAUGACUCCACAAUACGACCUUGUAAGCACUUCUGAGAGUCGGUGGUCCCAGCAGCCUUCGUGCCCCUCCCUGGCAUUGCUGCAGGCCCAGCCAAGCCAUUUACACUGUUCCCACUAUGAUGAGACCUGCACCCUCCGCCAGAAUGGCACCAUCAACCUCUACUGGGAGUUCCAGUGCCCACUCGAUGACUUUGAGCUGGUCCUGUGGUCCUUGGGCUCUCGGGAGAAGAGCUACCUGCUGUGCCCCUACUGCUACAACCACCCGGCCUUUCGAGACAUG